UGGGGAAUAUUGCACAAUGGGCGCAAGCCUGAUGCAGCCAUGCCGCGUGAGUGAAGAAGGUUUUCGGAUCGUAAAACUCUGUUGUUAGAGAAGAACAAGGACGUUAGUAACUGAACGUCCCCUGACGGUAUCUAACCAGAAAGCCACGGCUAACUACGUGCCAGCAGCCGCGGUAAUACGUAGGUGGCAAGCGUUGUCCGGAUUUAUUGGGCGUAAAGCGAGCGCAGGCGGUUUCUUAAGUCUGAUGUGAAAGCCCCCGGCUCAACCGGGGAGGGUCAUUGGAAACUGGGAGACUUGAGUGCAGAAGAGGAGAGUGGAAUUCCAUGUGUAGCGGUGAAAUGCGUAGAUAUAUGGAGGAACACCAGUGGCGAAGGCGGCUCUCUGGUUUGUAACUGACGCUGAGGCUCGAAAGCGUGGGGAGCAAACAGG
rnacentral:rRNA from 1 species